CAAACGAAUCAAUCCAAAAGCCCUUCACCCGAAGAAAAUCGGAUAUCCUCUGAUUCGACUCAGUAGCUCUAUCUUCCUUUUGGAGGGAAACCAGGAGCAGGAUGUGGAACCCUCUGUCCUUAUAUCUAACUAUAACUCCGUUGCACCACUUACGUAACAUGAUUGGAGUAAUAUCAAACCCUUGACUCAUUCGUGCAUGGCGAGGCAAAAUCAUUCAGGGGCAUCUUACAUGGGAUAAAGAUCGGCUGGCCCAUUGGCGGGCGGGCAACACACGGAAGGAAUGGUUGGAAUGAUGCAAAGGGAGGUGAUCAUGGCAGUAUCGGAUAGGGGAAUUAUUUAACAGGAGCAAUGUAUUCCAUGCAUGUCAAGCCCCAGGUUACAUACAGUUGGGGUUGCCUACGUUAACGAUAAAUAGUCUCGGAAGGUUACUAGGGAAGCCCUCUUCCGCAAUAGGUAUUAAAUGCUAUAUCCUGCUGGUGGAAUGAUGAAAUGAAUUUUCAUAUCCAGGGCGUCUAAAUAAUUCAAAUAAGCGUAUUGACGUUGCUGUAGGGAAUAAUGCAAUAAAAAUGCA
rnacentral:sRNA from 1 species